rnacentral:rRNA from 1 species
UGCAAGUCGAACGAAGCUCUUUUCUUGAUCUCUUCGGAGUGAAAGUUGAGAUGACUGAGUGGCGGACGGGUGAGUAACGCGUGGGUAACCUGCCCUAUACAGGGGGAUAACAGUUGGAAACGACUGCUAAUACCGCAUAAGCCAUGGAACUGCAUGGUGCCAUGGUGAAAGAUCCGUCGGCGCGGGAUGGGCAUGCGGCGCAUUAGCUGGUUGGCGGGGCAACGGCCCACCAAGGCGACGAUGCGUAGGGGUUCUGAGAGGAAGGUCCCCCACACUGGUACUGAGACACGGACCAGACUCCUACGGGAGGCAGCAGUGAGGAAUAUUGGUCAAUGGGCGGGAGCCUGAACCAGCCAAGUCGCGUGCGGGAUGAAGGCCCUACGGGUCGUAAACCGCUUUAGCCGGGGAGUAACGAGUGGGACGCGUCCCGCUGUGAGAGUACCAGGAGAAUAAGCAUCGGCUAACUCCGUGCCAGCAGCCGCGGUAAUACGGAGGAUGCGAGCGUUAUCCGGAUUUAUUGGGUUUAAAGGGUGCGCAGGCGGCAUGUCAAGUCAGCGGUCAAACUGCGGCGCUCAACGCCGUACCGCCGUUGAAACUGGCGCGCUUGAGUGCGUGGGAGGAUGGCGGAAUGCGCGGUGUAGCGGUGAAAUGCAUAGAUAUCGCGCAGAACCCCUAUUACGAAGGCAGCUGUCCACCACGCCACUGACGCUCAUGCACGAAAGCGUGGGUAUCGAACAGGAUUAGAUACCCUGGUAGUCCACGCGGUAAACGAUGAUCACUAGCUGUGCGUCCUAAUUGAGGGGUGCGCGGCCGAGCGAAAGCGUUAAGUGAUCCACCUGGGGAGUACGCCGGCAACGGUGAAACUCAAAGGAAUUGACGGGGGCCCGCACAAGCGGAGGAACAUGUGGUUUAAUUCGAUGAUACGCGAGGAACCUUACCCGGGCUCAAACGCCAGGAGACGGGCGCCUGAAAGG